UCUUAUAUAUUUUUUCAGUGCCGGGAUAUUCAUAUUCCUAAAGCCACUAUUGUGUUUUCUCUAAGAAGCACUACAUGCCACCAGAAUUGUGCACUGAAAGAUAAUACAAACUGAGUGUCUUUAUGAGAAUCACUGUGUCCCCUGAGGCCCAGCAGUACCUGCUUCCCUGUAUGUGGAAGCAGCACCUCAUUCCCGCCAUCAGCUACCUCUCAUCACCCCACCUUCAUCAUCAUGCUCCAGGGUCACCCUGGCCAGCUCUUGUGCUGGGACAGGGGAUUACACCAUCUCUGUUCAAAGAGGGGGAAAUGUGCCUAUGCCUUAAGUCAAUGCACUCAGCAAGGAGAAGCACAUCUUAUUUAUCUUGUUACCUAUAGUUUACUUUGGGUGAUUGGAGGGGAAUGACUUAGUUAUGACUGGACAUCUUAAAAGCUGAUAGACAAGCCAAAUGGCUGGCAGAUGAUGUGGAUUUCAAAGAGCCCAGAAUGAACUCAUCACUGGCUUAGACAGUCCUGGAUGCCAUUUGGAAAGUAGUGGCCCUGCAAGCCUAAAUGAAGUAGUAUUUGUAGGCCUGGGUGGCAUUUGGAUUUUUCUUUUCCCUCAACAAGGUUUUACUUUUUCUUACUUUACAAGCAAGGGAAGUUUUGUGAUAGGAGAGAAAUAAAAGAUUUGAUAUUUUUUGAGAUGACACUCAAGCAUCAGGCUGAGAUUUGCACACAUGGGAUGUAAAAGCAAGCUGUGUGUUGCUUAGUCACUUACUUAGAAGUAGAUGGUGGGGGACAGCGGCGUGGGUCCUAGCCUGGCCAGUGAUGCUGCUGGCGUCCAGACCCCAGACUCACUCCAAGCACUCUUGUUCAAUAUCUCAUGCAGAAGAGUUGGGCUGGUCACUCUUAGGGGUGAGACCCCGUGAUUGGUUGGUUUGUAGCACUAAGGUCUAAAAAGGAAAACCAUAAAAGACAUCAGAUUACGCUGGAUCAGUAUAAUUAAUAUUCCAUAGGGCCAUGUUGCCAGAAUCUGUAUGUAUCAAUACAGGGUUUUUCCAAGCCAGGAAACGCCCUCCUUGGCUACUAGGAGCACCUAUCCCAUAUCAUUCAGAUAAACAAUGAUAGCUACAAAGUCAUUUGUGGCUAGAUAGGUUAAGACAGGUGAUUUUUUAAAGUAGACUGUCUUUGCAUUUUGCCAUCUGAAGUUCAUUAAUCUUUAGAUGACAAAAAAGCAAAAAGUUCCCAGAACGUUUUUGCUUAGAUUUUGUUCUAAUCACCACGUGAAGGAAUGAGAUUAGCACCACAAGUUUCAUGCCAAUAAAAGAGACUGGUGUGAUCCCACAUGCAAAAUUUAAUCCUAAGGGUAGUGAGAUCACAAACAGAAUAAAAAUAAGAGCAAUCAACCAUAUAAAUCAAGUACCUAUUGGGAACAGACAUAACAUUCAAUUUUUCAUUUAUGCUAAGUGACCACAGUAUACAAAGUAAUAAGCAGGAAAUUUGAUAUGGGUUAAAUUAUGCAUUUUGUUCAGAUUUUGGAAAUUGGUAUGCAUUAUAAGUUUCUCAAUGUACAUCUUUUUAUCCCAACACCCUCAAACUAGAAUAUUUGUCAGUGGUCAAGAGAAAAAAUUUUACCUGAAUUCUUGGGGGCCGGCGGGGAGCUUUUACAUUAAAAAUCUACUAACGCCUACUUUUUAAAAAAUGAGAUUCUUUCUAAUCUUUAUAUAUGACAUUUUCUAGACAAUCGCACCUUUGGGUAUAUUAAACAGCUGGUAUCAUAACAAAGAAUCCAAAUGAACCUUCAAUAUACUAGAAGUUCUAGUAGGUUAAUAUUGUUCAGAAGAUUUUUACAAAUUAAAAACUGAUUUCCAAAUAUG
rnacentral:lncRNA from 1 species